CUCGAAACUAUUAUGAUAAACUUAGAUUUAGCUGAGAGCUAAUUAAUAAAAAGGCUUUUUAAAAAAAAUCUAAGUAGAAUGGAUAACAUUAUCGGAUAUAGUAAUAGCUAGUUAAAAAGUAGUAUAGUCAUGUAAAUUUUACGAGUAAAUCUCGUAUAAAAGUCAAACUAAAAUUUAAAAUAUAGAAACAUCAAAGGCGAGGAGUACCUAAGAUAAAAAAGUGUUUCUACUUUAUAAAUUUUUAAAUAGGGUUUUUUAAAACUUUUUAAUAUAAUUAAAAAAAAAUAAUGCUGGAAUAAGUAUAAUAAUAAUUUUUUAGGAACUCAAGAAUAAUUCCAACUGUUUAGCAAAAACAUUUUCUUUAGAAAAAAUUAAAGAUAAAGCCUGCUCAAUGUGAUAAUAAAUAGCCGCGGUAUCUUAACUGCGCGAAGGUAGCAUAAUUAAUUGUCUUUUAAAUGGUGACUUGUUUGAACGGCUUACUGAGGGUUUUUCUUUCUUAAAAAUUUAAGAAUUUAUUUUCUAGGGUUAAAAAACCUAGGUCAAAAAGAAAGAAGAGAAGACCCUGAUGAGUUUUACAGUAACUAAUUCUGUUUGAAUGGGGCAUUCCGAUUUUUAUUAAAUUCGUUUGUGAUCCUACUUUGAGGAUAAAGGUUAAAAUUACCACAGGGAUAACAGGACAAGCUUUGCUGAGAGUACUUAUUAAAGCAAAGGAUUGUUACCUCGAUGUUGAAUCAAAAUUUACUAAUUGGUGCAGAAGUUAAUAUAGUAGGUCUGUUCGACCUUUAAAUUUUUACGUGAUUUGAGUUAAGACCGGCGAGAGCCAGGUUGGCUUCUAUCUUCUAUAGAGAGAUUUUUGUACGAAAGGAACAAAUCU
rnacentral:rRNA from 1 species